rnacentral:tRNA from 8 species
GGGGAUGUAGCUCAGCCGGGAGAGCGCCUGCCUUGCACGCAGGAGGUCAGCGGUUCGAUCCCGCUCAUCUCCACCA